AACGAACGCUGGCGGCAGGCUUAACACAUGCAAGUCGAGCGCCCCGCAAGGGGAGCGGCAGACGGGUGAGUAACGCGUGGGAAUCUACCCAUCACUACGGAACAACUCCGGGAAACUGGAGCUAAUACCGUAUACGUCCUUCGGGAGAAAGAUUUAUCGGUGAUGGAUGAGCCCGCGUUGGAUUAGCUAGUUGGUGGGGUAAUGGCCUACCAAGGCGACGAUCCAUAGCUGGUCUGAGAGGAUGAUCAGCCACAUUGGGACUGAGACACGGCCCAAACUCCUACGGGAGGCAGCAGUGGGGAAUAUUGGACAAUGGGCGAAAGCCUGAUCCAGCCAUGCCGCGUGAGUGAUGAAGGCCCUAGGGUUGUAAAGCUCUUUCACCGGUGAAGAUAAUGACGGUAACCGGAGAAGAAGCCCCGGCUAACUUCGUGCCAGCAGCCGCCGUAA
rnacentral:rRNA from 1 species